AAGACCUUGCGCUUUUGGAGCGGCCGAUGCCUGAUUAGCUUGUUGGUAAGGUAAAAGCUUACCAAGGCUUCMAUCAGUAGCUGGUCUGAGAGGACGGCCAGCCACACUGGGACUGAGACACGGCCCAGACUCCUACGGGAGGCAGCAGUGGGGAAUUUUGGACAAUGGGGGCAACCCUGAUCCAGCCAUGCCGCGUGAGUGAAGAAGGCCUUCGGGUUGUAAAGCUCUUUCAGCCGGAACGAAACGGUUACGGUUAAUACCCGUGAUUACUGACGGUACCGGAAGAAGAAGCACCGGCUAACUACGUGCCAGCAGCCGCGGUAAUACGUAGGGUGCGAGCGUUAAUCGGAAUUACUGGGCGUAAAGCGUGCGCAGGUGGUUUUGUAAGUCAGAUGUGAAAGCCCCGGGCUCAACCUGGGAACU
rnacentral:rRNA from 1 species